rnacentral:lncRNA from 1 species
UUUUGUUGAUUUUCUGUUAAAUAUAUCAAAGUGUUCAAGUUCUCUUAUAUUUCUUCCAGUACUGAAAAGCUGAUCCAAACCUCUCACACAUUUGGUAGGACAAAGAAAUCUGGAAAAUUUCUUAUGGAUCACUGAUUCAAGAUAAUCAGAAAAUUGAGAAUACAUAAUUUAUCAGUACCAGAAAACAGCCCAGCACCCAGGAGGAGGCUUCCCAGCCACCAUUCCACCGCUCCCAGGGCAGAAGAGGUGAGCCACGCAGGCACCAGCAUC